AUUGAACGCUGGCGGCAGGCCUAACACAUGCAAGUCGAACGGUAGCAGGAAGUGCUUGCACUUCGCUGACGAGUGGCGGACGGGUGAGUAAUGCUUGGGAACUUGCCUUUAGGUGGGGGAUAACAGUUGGAAACGACUGCUAAUACCGCAUAAUGUCUACGGACCAAAGGGGGCUUCGGCUCUCGCCUUAAGAGAGGCCCAAGUGAGAUUAGCUAGUUGGUGGGGUAAAGGCCUACCAAGGCAACGAUCUCUAGCUGUUCUGAGAGGAAGAUCAGCCACACUGGGACUGAGACACGGCCCAGACUCCUACGGGAGGCAGCAGUGGGGAAUAUUGCACAAUGGGGGAAACCCUGAUGCAGCCAUGCCGCGUGUGUGAAGAAGGCCUUCGGGUUGUAAAGCACUUUCAGUUGUGAGGAAAGGUUGGUAGUUAAUACCUGCCAGCUGUGACGUUAACAACAGAAGAAGCACCGGCUAACUCCGUGCCAGCCGCCGCCGUAACAC
rnacentral:rRNA from 1 species